GGGGUGACAUGAUGGCGCCACUUUAAAUUGCUCUUUCCUCCGCCUGUUUUUUCCUCCUUUAUCCUGGAGGUCACUGGAGCAUUUUCCGUGACCUAUUAAUAAAACCGCACUUGAGGGUGUUAGCUGUACAACUCUUAGGGGUUAGAAUUUGGUACCUUAAAGAUUGAGAAACCCGAAUCCUGCAGUCCCCAAAGUUAAGAGAAAUCUCGCUAGUCCUCCAACCUAGCUUUCCUCCCCUCCAUUCACAAUCCUGGUGUUGCCAUAUCCUUCGUCACGUGGCUAGCAAUCAUUGUGGGGUUUUGUUUGUUUGUUUGGGGGGGUGUAUGUUAAUAUUUUAAGCUGUAGCCAAGUAAGUGUCCCUCUGCCCAUUAGAGAGAUCACAAUGCUCUAGGGUUUUUUUUUUUUAAUACAUUCGGAGAACAUUUUAAAAUAAACGAUAAAAUUACAUAAUCCUUGCCUUGCAUAAUCAUGAUAUAGUUACAGAACUUCUUCUCAAAAGUACUUUCAAUCAAGUAGGAAAAUCGUUAUAUUAAAAUGAUUUCUGUUUCUUAGACUGGUCUGCAGUUUAUAUUUCCCACCCCACCUCCCUUUUUUGUUUUUGUUUUUAAGGUCAUUUGAAGUACCAGUAUUUACAAAAGCAUAAAGUGGGCGUGUUUCCCUUUCCUCUCUUCUAUGGGCUGUACUUGGUUUCUUGUCUUAUUCUCCUACCAAUUUAGAAAUUUUCAAUUAACUGCAGCUGUUGUCAGUUGAGACUUUUUUUUUUUUUUCUUCUGACAGUGGAUACUUUUGAUGUGUUUCUUUGUUGCAUUUUUGAUAGAGAAGUUUUUAAUUCUAGUUUUCCAAUCUUCUUACUUGGUUGUUAUAACUUCUUGUAAAUAUUAACUAUAAAAUGCUAAAGUACAUUUUUUUCUUUUUCUAGGUAAGUUACUAGCUUCAAAAAGUAAAUAUAAAAUGUAAUUCUUGAGUAUGAUUGAUCUGUUUUCUCCUGAUGUAUGUUAUCAAUGGCUUGGGCCAUUUUCUUUGCUAACAGUUACAUCAUGUCAUGUGAUAGGUGCAGUGUGAUGUGUUGCUCUAAAAAUAUUGCGAGGUAAAAAUGCUCAUCCUUUGGAAAUUUAAACAAUGUAUUGUAACUAUUUGGUAACGACCCUUAGUCAUGGAAUCCUGAAUUAGAUUUCCACUAGGUUUAGCCAACCAAGUGUACAGUUCUUUUGACCUUUAGAAUAUUUGAUUUGAUUUGUUAGUGACCUCAGAACUUGAGGUGGUUUGACAUUAUUUUUGAAGUGUGAUCUACUUGGAACCAUUAACAAUCACAUAGAUUCUUAAAAUCUUUAUUCUGAUGAAGGUAGUUAUUUAAUUAAGUGUAUGUGAUGAUUUGUUUCUGUACACAAAAGUCAUCAGUUCUAUGCAGAUUUUGAGAUAAAUUGGAGGUUUGGUUUUCCUACCUAUAGGAAUCUGCAAGUAUUGGGUUGCUGCAUCUUUCAUGAAAACCCAAUUCAGACCAGUAGUGUCUUGACUUUCAUGUUCAUGUAAUAUUAAAUCUGCAGAGCACUCUUUGAUUUUUAGAUAAUUUACUGUCCUGUUAAGGAAAAUUCUGGAAGCUAGAAAACAGUUUAAUUUAUUUGAACUUUAAGGUGAGAAGAAAGAAUAUUGUAUUUUUUUUUCUCCUUCAGAUACCACCAAUGUCUUUUUUUCUCUAGUAAUGCUACACUGUAAUCAGUGUUUCUGUAUAGUAUAGCCCCUGGAUUUUGACCAAAUCUAGUUUGGCCACAGAUUUUAAUUACUUUUACAGUGAACAAAUUUGGGGUUUGCUGUGUUUGAUAUGAGCUAUUUUAUGUGAUCUGUAAACAAGGCUUUUGUAGGUGGUGAUGCCUAUUUUCAAAGGCAUUUUAGUAUUGAGUUGUUGUAGCUGUGAGUGAAAUUGUUCCCUUAGUUUAGAAAAAUAAUUUUUCAAAAUGCUCUUUAAAACAUUAUAUUGUACAGAGAAAGCUUUGGGUUUAAAUGGUGUGUUUUCCUAUUCAUUUUCUUUGGGUGGGGGUGGAAGGUUCCUAGGCCUCAUCUUUCCCACCACCUUGUUUUGGUGAGGCAAUUAAGACAGAAAUGAAAGUGUCUUUCUGGAAAUUUUUUUGUGUAUUGUAUAUAUACAGAGAGAGAGUGUGUGUGUAUUGUAUUGUAUUGCCUCUAGUUCUAAGACCUGUCUAUUUCUUGAUCUAGAUGGAAAGAAAUAGUGUAGAUUAAGUAUAACUAGCAGUUAUCUCUGGUUAUUUCUAUGACCCACAAUUCUCUUCUCAAUCUAUAUAUAACACUCAAAAGAUAGUACUUCCUAUCUCUUCUGGCAGACUUGAAAUGUUGAUGCCCUCUACUUACAGUACUUUCCUAAUUUCUAUUGUCUUUUGUUGUUCACCUCAGUUUUUGAGCUUGCAUUUUGAGAAAUGGAAGUACCAAGAAGAGUCCUAAUUUUGUCUGAAUUUCUACACUCUGGUAGUAAUGUUUUUGCACAACUUUAGUGUCUGUAAACUACUAUAGAGUUUAUUAGGUUUGAAACUAUAACUAUGUCUGUUCAAGUUGAAAAAUAAUUCUUCCUGUAGAUUCUUUUUAAAAACUGG
rnacentral:lncRNA from 1 species